rnacentral:tRNA from 1 species
GGAGGCGUGGUGUAGUGGUUAACACACCGGCCUGUCACGCCGGAGAUCGCGGGUUCGAUCCCCGUCGCCUCCGCCG